AACGAACGCUGGCGGCAUGCCUAACACAUGCAAGUCGAACGAUCCCUUCGGGGAUAGUGGCGCGCGGGUGCGUAACGCGUGGGAGCCUGCCCUUAGGUUCGGAAUAACUCAGAGAAAUUUGAGCUAAUACCGGAUAAUGUCUUCGGACCAAAGAUUUAUCGCCUUUGGAUGGGCCCGCGUUGGAUUAGCUAGUUGGUGGGGUAAAGGCCUACCAAGGCGACGAUCCAUAGCUGGUCUGAGAGGAUGAUCAGCCACACUGGGACUGAGACACGGCCCAGACUCCUACGGGAGGCAGCAGUGGGGAAUAUUGGACAAUGGGCGAAAGCCUGAUCCAGCAAUGCCGCGUGAGUGAUGAAGGCCUUAGGGUUGUAAAGCUCUUUUACCCGGGAUGAUAAUGACAGUACCGGGAGAAUAAGCCCCGGCUAACUCCGUG
rnacentral:rRNA from 1 species